rnacentral:lncRNA from 1 species
CUCAGGAGGGGAAGGCUGAAAAUGAGCAGGAACAGUUGCUGCUGCUGGAACCCCAGGAAUUUCUUCAGGGUGCUGUGCAGCUGACCCAGAUGACAGACCCACCUUGCUCCGUCCCCUGGCUUUCUCCCGAGAGUCCCACCCGCUCCCAUCUGGCGGUCAUCGGACUGGAUGCGUACCUGUGGUAUCACCUUCAGCCUCAGAGGGGCGGGUGGGGUGGGAUUCCAGGGAAGUGGAUUGCCCCAGCCGCCCUGUCACCUGAUCCCACUUGGCUUGGGUGGGCUGUGCCGAUGUGGGAAGACUUGGGAGCCCAAAAGAUGGUUGCCUCUGUUCAGUUCUUGCAAGCCCAGUUCUCAGAAGACGUGGCCACCAAAGAAGUCAGAGGAAGCCCAGGCCAGGGUAGCCAUCAGCUGGUCAGAGGUGGAGGAGGCUCUGGUACUGCUUCAGCUCCAUGCAAACUUGGAUGUGCUGCUGGUAGCCUCGUGGCGAGAGCUGAGUCAGUAUGUGUGUGCCUUCACCAAGGCCCUCGCCCAGCUCCCCUCUAACAGGGCACUGGGCCUCAGGCCAGCAAGUGACCAGAGAUGGCUCUGGGCUCAGAGGAGUGUGGUGGCGACAAAUCAGACAGUUCAACCGGGUCAGCCCAGCUGUGGCUGAUGCUGUUGUUACUGCCUUCCCCUCACCCCGCCUUUU